GCCUAGCCAUGAGCAGAAAGCAUAAGCUGGAUCCCAUCCUUACACCUUACACGAAAAUUAACCCCGGAUGGAUUACAGAUUUAAACAUAAGACCUAACACCACAAAAACCCUAGAAGAAAACUUAAGCAAUAUCAUUCAGGACAUAGGCAUAGGCAAGGACUUCAUGACUAAAAUACCAAAAGCAA